UCUUUUCUUCAUCUACCCGCCUCUCUCCCUCCCUCUCCUUUUCUCUGCUUUUUCCCCUUUUCUCCUACAUCUCUGGCUUUUUCCCUCUUUCUCCUGUGUUGAACAUCGAUGAUUUGAAGAUCUACCGGGCUACCCUUAAUUUUCUACUGAAAGUUUUCUCAGAUCUACUGGGCUACCCUUAAUUUUUGUCAUUUUUGGUUGUUUUGUUGUAGAUGAAGAUGUCAAGCAUAACUUUGCAGGAAACAAGCAUAGCAUGGGAAGAUGACAAGUCCGGAUCUGAUAGGUUUGCUUCGGUAUAGUUGCAAUCGGUGGAUGAAGAUGUAAAUCAAAUGAAGAUGGAGCCGUGGAGAUGACAAGCAAAAAUUUGCAGACUAUGGAAUCGCAAGAGGCGGUUUAAUCAAUUGACUGUUGCUUCAGUGCGAGAGUCUUCCUGCGUGAAGACUAUGGAUUCGCAAGAGGCAGUAGAGGUGGAGUGGUCGGCUAACGAAGUUUGGGAUUUCUGUAUAAAGUUCUUUGAAGAAUGGAAUCGUGUUUAUUGGAAAUCAAGUCCUGUUGUUACACAAGAUGAUCAAAUCUCACUGAAGCAACAAUUGAUUGAUUGACGUUGUGCAGUCAAAAUUAGAGAUUACAAAAGAUUACCCUUACAGUUUGGUGGAAGUCAAUGGUGAAAAGGGGUGGUUAGAGAAGACAAGACAAUGGUCAAAAGGGUUCAUCUGUGUUUGAUUUUGUGUCAAAGCAGGGGAAUUUGUGAAAAGAUCCAUUUCACAUUCACAACUUAGGUUUGCCCAAAUGAAGGAAAGCUGGAAUGAACAGAUUCACACAGGCAUGCUCAUGGUUGAAGGGUUUAAAGCGCUCGAUUUAGGAUUUAAUGAUAUCUCGGAAGAUGUUUUGGCACAUCUGAAAGGUGCCUCCUGUCCUCUCAUCAUCUUUUUAUUUCUAUCAACUAAAAUUAAAACUAAAUUUUCGGAUGUGAAAUAGUGAAAGGGUCAUGCUCUUAUACACGUAUAAGGUAUGGUACUAUUUAUAGCAGUUUGGCUAAUCCAUCAUACGCCCACUCUUUGAGUAUUUAAUACAGACCGCAUUCACUAACUUCUUUUGUUCCUUGACUUAAUGGCGUUUGAUGUUAUUUGCUAUCAUCUCAGUUAUUCUAACCUGGGCCUAGCUGUUUUUAGUCGGUCUAACCUGGCUAGACAUAUUUUAAGUCAAUGUAACCUGGCCUGAACCAUUUUAGUCAGACCAUUUUUAUUCUAUGUAACCUGGUCCAACCUGUUUUAUGUCGGUUGAACCUGGUCCGACCCAUUUCAAGUCAUUCUAAUCCAACUUUACAUGAAAAUUGUGAUUCUUGUUAUUUUAAUCUUGUAUGGUUUUUUGUUAUUUAUGAGAUAAUCAAGUUAUGGUCAUUCUAACUUUGUAUGGAAUAUGCACAAUUCUGGAUCUUUUGUUGCUCUUUUUUUUUAUAUAGGCCCAUAUUACAAAGCUCAAUGGGAGAUUACUCAAGGCAGUGCGACAAGUGAUAUGCGAGAAGAGCUCUGGGCGUGUCGACCCAUUGGGUUUUGUUUGGAACGGCUGGGCCCCUCCUAAAGCUAAUUAUUUAGCCUGGAGGGCUGCAGCAGAUUGUUUGCUGACCAAAUCAGCUCUCGCGUGUAGGGGCAUGGGGCUGAACGGGGAUCUGUGCUGUAGAUGUGGUUUGGAGGCCGAAGACACCAACCAUCUGUUCAUUAAGUGCCUGGUUGCGAGGUGUAUUUGGUGGCAACUCAGUGUUUGGAUGCGCAUCAGUAUUCCCACAGACUCGCACAGUGUAACUGAGCGGCUUGCCUUUUUUACAAACCAACUGGGUUCCAAAAGAUGGAAAAAAGUAGUCCUUGCGGUUGUUAUGGCAGCUUUUUGGAGGAUUUGGAUCUGCAGAAAUGACAAGCUUUUCAAUGGCAAGGAGGUCCCGUACAACAGAAUGGUGGAGGCGAUAAAAGAAGACGCCUUUGUUUGGAUUAAGUAUAGAUCGAGUAAAGCUUCCCUUGAGUGGGAUAGCUGGGUUUCGUUUAAUGUUGGGACUCUGUUGUAAUUUGCUUUUCCUCUUUGUAUUCCAGCCAGUGGCUGGUUGCUUUAUAUUCAUAUAUAAAGUUUGCUGCAGUUCAAAAAUAUAUAUAACAUUCUAUUGGUUCAAUUUAGUAUCUCGAUGAGUAUAUAUCAAUUUCUAUGUCGUCUAAUAUCAGAUGCUUUCAAUUAUUGUAUAUGAGAUAAGUUUGUUUUUGGUCUAUCACAGGACUACCAGAAUGCCCAGGUCAAUGAAAGAUCUUUUAAUGCCAUCAAGCGAUAUAAGAGAGUUUUGUAUAUGUAAUGUCCAAACGAGUUGAAUUGGUCAUUGUUGCGAAAGAAGCUACCUUGGGCUGGUUCAAAGAUUGUAAAGGAAUAACAGAACAGGGUUCUGCUGAGCAUGACAAGCAUCAAAUGAUGCAGCUGGGCUUCAAUCAGCUACAGCAUGGGCUCAAAUGUUGUCUCAAUCGGCGAUUUUCAGCUUCAACAUCAACUAUAGCUUAUGCAACCUACAAAUCCCAGUUUGACAACUUAGCAUAAUAUCCAAGAUUGCAGUCUACAUGGGCCGGUAGCAUAUCACAAACAUCAGGCCCUUUGGUGAUCUAAAUGUAAAACAAUGGAUUCGCUUCCUAUUGCUUCGGUUGCUCCAGUCAUGCUCCCAACUGGAGGUCCUGUGAAAUGUAAUUGGACAGGGCACAUAUGCAUAUGAUACUGAACUAAUGUUAUUUCUCCCUUUCUUUUAUUGUCGUAAAGUUUUUGUCAUUUUAUUUUCUA